AGAGCGCAAGGGGAAUGCCUUGGCAUCAGGAGCCGAAGAAGGACGUGACAAGCUGCGAAAAGCCUCGGGGAGGAGCAAAUAUCCAUUGAUCCGGGGAUAUCCGAAUGGGGCAACCCGGCUGGACAAUAUCCAGUCAUCCUGCGUUGAACAAAAUAGGCGUAGGAAGGGAACCGCCUGAACUGAAACAUCUAAGUAGGGCGAGGAAGAGACAUCAACCGAGAUUCCGCAAGUAGUGGCGAGCGAACGCGGAAGAGGCCAAACCGAGGGAUUUAUUCCUCGGGGUUGCGGACAGUCAUUUAGCGGAAGUUAUCUAGGAGAAGGGUCUGGGAAGGCCCGCCAUAGAGGGUGAGAGCCCCGUAUCCGAAAGAGAAGGCCGUGCGACUGAAUCCAGAGUACCGCGGGACACGUGAAACCCCGUGGGAAACAGGGGGGACCACCCUCCAAGCCUAAAUACUACCUGAUGACCGAUAGAGGAGCAGUACCGUGAGGGAAAGGUGAAAAGGACCCCGGGAGGGGAGUGAAAGAGAACCUGAAACCUUGUGCUUACAAGCACUCAAAGCACGUUAAAGUGUGAUGAGGUACUUUUUGUAGAACGGUCCGGCGAGUUAUUGUAUGCAGCAAGCUUAAGGUGUUCAGCACCGGAGGCGAAGCGAGAGCGAGUCUGAAUAGGGCGUAUGAAGUUGUAUGCAAUAGACCCGAAACCAGGUGACCUAUCCAUGGGCAGGUUGAAGUGGGGGUAAAACCCCAUGGAGGACCGAACCGACCCCCGUUGCAAUGGUGGCGGAUGACCUGUGGAUAGCGGAGAAAUUCUAAUCGAACUUGGAGAUAGCUGGUUCUCCCCGAAAUAGCUUUAGGGCUAGCGUUGAUUUAGAUUACCGGAGGUAAAGCACUGAAUGGGCUAGGGGCUGAUAAAGUUACUGAACCCUAUCAAACUCUGAAUGCCGGAUAAUUGAUGAUCAGCAGUCAGUCUACGUGAGAUAAGUCUCGUGGACAAAAGGGAAACAGCCCAGACCCACAGCUAAGGUCCCAAAGAUACGCUAAGUGGAAAACGAUGUGGAAUUGCGAAAACAACCAGGAUGUUGGCUUAGAAGCAGCCACUCAUUAAAAGAGUGCGUAAUAGCUCACUGGUCGAGUGACUCUGCGCGGAAAAUAUAACGGGGCUAAGCGUAACACCGAAGCUUGGGCUGCACAGCAAUGUGCGGGGUAGGGGAGCGUCGAAUAUGGGGUGAAGUCGCAGCGGAAGCAGCGGUGGACUGUAUUCGAGUGAGAAUGCCGGAAUGAGUAGCGAGAAUUAUGUGGGAAUCAUAAUGGCCGAAAAUCUAAGGUUUCUUGGGGAAGGUUCGUCCGCCCAAGGUAAGCCGGGAGCUAAGGCGAGGCCGAGAGGCGUAGUCGAUGCACAUACGGUUGAAAUUCCGUAGCCACCGAAACUUAAGCUAGAAGGACACUUGGAGCUAUCCAGACCCGGGCGUUGGUUGACCCGGGCGAAAGGGACCGAAAAUAAGUAGGGAAGCUGGAGAAUGACGAGGCGAGAAAAGUUCUAGUGUAUGCUAAGGUGCCCGUACCGCAAACCGACACAGGUAGAUGAGGAGAGAAUCCUAAGGCCAACGGGAGAAGGGUUGUUAAGGAACUCGGCAAAAUUACCCCGUAACUUCGGGAUAAGGGGAGCUCCCUAAGGGGAGCCGCAGAGAAUAGGCCCAAGCGACUGUUUACCAAAAACACAGGUCUAUGCUAAAUCGAAAGAUGACGUAUAUGGGCUGACGCCUGCCCGGUGCUGGAAGGUUAAGAGGAGAGCUUAGCGCAAGCGAAGGUUUGAAUUGAAGCCCCAGUAAACGGCGGCCGUAACUAUAACGGUCCUAAGGUAGCGAAAUUCCUUGUCAGGUAAGUUCUGACCCGCACGAAUGGCGUAAUGACUUGGGCACUGUCUCAACUGCAAAUCCGGCGAAGUUGUAGUGCGAGUGAAGAUGCUCGCUACCCGCGAUUGGACGGAAAGACCCCGUAGAGCUUUACUGCAGCUUAGCAUUGAAUUCCGGUAUUGUCUGUACAGGAUAGGUGGGAGACUGGGAAACUAGGGCGUCAGCCUUAGUGGAGUCAACCUUGGGAUACCACCCUGACAGUACUGGGGUUCUAACAGGACGCCAUGAAUCUGGUGACUGGACAUUGUUAGGUGGGCAGUUUGACUGGGGCGGUCGCCUCCUAAAAAGUAACGGAGGCGCCCAAAGGUUCCCUCAGAACGGUCGGAAAUCGUUCGUAGAGUGCAAAGGCAGAAGGGAGCCUGACUGCGAGACCUACAAGUCGAGCAGGGACGAAAGUCGGGCUUAGUGAUCCGGUGGUACCUCGUGGGAGGGCCAUCGCUCAACGGAUAAAAGCUACCUCGGGGAUAACAGGCUGAUCUCCCCCAAGAGUCCACAUCGACGGGGAGGUUUGGCA
rnacentral:rRNA from 1 species